UACGAAGGGGGCUAGCGUUGUUCGGAAUUACUGGGCGUAAAGCGCACGUAGGCGGGUUGUUAAGUCAGGGGUGAAAUCCUGGAGCUCAACUCCAGAACUGCCUUUGAUACUGGCAACCUAGAGACUGGAAGAGGUUAGUGGAAUUCCCAGUGUAGAGGUGAAAUUCGUAGAUAUUGGGAAGAACACCAGUGGCGAAGGCAGCUCGCUGGGACGGUACUGACGCUGAGACGCGAAAGCGUGGGGAGCAAACAGG
rnacentral:rRNA from 1 species